rnacentral:lncRNA from 1 species
UUGUUUUCUUUUAUGUGUAUUAUUAACUUGCCUAGAUCUUCAUUUAUCCAAUAAUCUCUGUUUUCUUUUCCUUUUCAAAAUGUUAAAGCCCUUUUUUUUUUUUCAUCUCUUAACCCUUUUUUGGGGGUUUGUUUAACUUUGAAGAUUGAAGAACCAUGAAAUAUAACAAGAGAAGAAAUUAAGAACCCUUUUUUCUCUUCUUUAUUUAUUUAUUUUGUUUUUUUUUUGGGUUUUCAAGGUAAGUUGAGUUGUCAACUUUACUCAACUUUGAUGUUUGAAAAAAAAAAUUGACCCACAAAUUUAAGAACCAUGAAAUCUAACAAGAAAGAAAAGUAUGUGGUACUAGUAGUUGGGAAGUGUGUUCUUUAUUUUUAAUAUUUCACAGACUUUUUUCUUGUUUUUGAAAGGUAAAGUCAUUUUUUUCUAUACAUAUUAACAUAUAAAAUCAUUUGUUUUUCAGAUUUUUGCUUAUUUUCAUGCCCUUUUCUUUUGUUUAGUAAAGCUAUACAUAUUUUCUGUAUUUAGGGUUUCGAUCCAUUUGUGAAAUGCCAAGUUGCCAUAUGCUAAAAACAAAUUCAACCCUUUGUUCUCUCUUUUCUUUUUUUCUUUUUUUUAAUUUCCUGGAAAUUUCACACUUAGUUUCAGAUUUAUCAGUCAUUUUUUGCUGAUGCAGCAUCUUCAAGAUUCACAUGCAAAGUAUAGUACGGCCAGGCCAUAGCUUUUGUUUGAAGCAUGAGAAUCUUGAUGAUGCUGCAUCGGCCAUUAAUGACUCCAUAACUCAUCCAUAAUGGAAAAAUCUUUAUAGAUCUUUCAAUUUUCCACAGCUUUUUUGGCAACCAUAAAAGGUAAAACUCCACUUAAUCCUAAUACCCUUAUUUUGGCUUCUUCUUUUAUUUAUAUAUAUAUGUGUGUGUGUGUGUGUGUCUGGUAAAAAAGCUGAAUUAAUAUUCGACUGCUGUUGUUUCUUUUUGCAGUACAUCACGAUGAUGAUGAUGACUUUUAAUUAUAUCAAAACACAUGAACUGUUUCAAUUUGAUGAAAUUAAGGUUAGAAGAAACUUAUAUAUGUAGUUUUAGAGAUUAUAAGUAUUAUUUCCCCCCCCUCUUCCGUACAACCCCAGUUUCUCUUUUUCUGUGUUUUAAUACUCGUGUUAGGGUUUUGAGAAUUUAGGGUUUCUUUUUAAUGCCCUUUAUCAGAAGCUUUUUUUUUUUUUGCGUUUUUGGUAUUAAUUUCUUGUAGUUCAUCCACAAACCUCAAAUGGGUUUCUUCUGAAAGGUACAAAUACUUAAUAGUUUUUUAAAAAAAUGAUCCUUGAAUCUCUUGUUUUUGCUAGUUUGAGAUCUAUUGUUGUGUUCUUAUUUUUGAAUUUUAGGAUAAAUUUCAUGGACCAAUAUUUCUCUUCAGUUCAGGCUUUUGUCAGCUUUCUUCUAAUCAUUUAAGGAAUCUGCAAUUUAAAAAAAAAAUAUUUUUUUUCAACAUAUGCACAUUAAAUCCUUGAGACAGAAAAAAAGACAUUAAUAAAAUAACAUAUUGUACUCCAUGUUCCUGAGUGGUUUGAGGAAGUAUAUAUAUGUAUAUAAUUGAGGCAAAUUCCCAGACUGAAACGUCCCACAUGCAAAACAUAAGAAAACAAAUUAUACAUACAAGCAUUAGCUGUAAGUCAGCAAAAAAAAUGGGAACCAAUAUGAUUCUAAAUUACAAAUCUGCAUUGCAUUAUCUUUCAAAAUAGCACAUGAUUAUACAUGGAGACAUCAUGGGGUAAAUGAUAUGAUGGACUUUGUUGUUUGGUACCUGAGAAAAUUAACUUCAAAUUUUCUUUUUCUUUUUUCUUGGAUAUCACGGGGGUAAAUGCUAUUGAAUCCAGAGCAAGACCCUGAGAAAGUAUAUAAUUUAAGAAACAUACUUUAGUUAUAAACUUGCCAUGAAGCUUUUGGGGAAUUAGCUUAUAGUGAAGUGAGAAAUGGUGAUAUGAAACCAUGUAUUUUGUGGAAGAAUUUUAAAAGCCAUAAUAAAAAGCAGUGGAGAAUGGACGCCUGCUGGUCGAGUGUACGGUAAGGAUUAGAGUUUUAACAAUGUGAAUGAAAAAAAAGUUAAAUCACUAUUUGAAUCCUCAAUUUUUUUCCAAUUUAAUCCUAAACUUAGUAAUUGUUUCCAUAUUGAGACUUAAACAAUUUUUUUCCAAGUUAGUAUUUGAAUUUGACAAUUGCUCACACAUUGAGGAUUGAACUUUAGGUUUUUCAAGAAUUUAUUAAUGGAUUAACUUGGACAAAAGAAAUUUAGACUUCAAUGUGAGAACAAUUGCCAAGUUCAGGACUAAUUUGAAAAAGAAAUUCAAGCCUCAAUGUAGGAAUAAUUGCUAAAUUCAGGGGCUAACUUGAACAAAAAAAAGUUUACCAAGUUCAGGGGUUGGGGGCUAAACUUUUUUUUUUCUAAGUUAGCUCAUGAACUUGAUAAUUAUUCUCAUAUUGAGACUUGAACUUCAAGGUUUUUAAGGUAAUAUCAAUGACUAACUUGGACAAACAAAGGUUAUAGCUUAAACGUGAGAUUGUCAAGUUCAUGGACUAACUUGAAAAAAAAUUAUAGAUCCGAUUCAAACACAAAAUAUUAAUUUAACCAAAAGAGUCUAGGAAAGCUUUAUCUUCUAUUUAAAAAAAUUGACCCGAUUCUAUUGAAUUUAGUCAAAACCGAAAGUAAUUAUGGGUAUCAACUAUAUACAUAUAAUUAUAUAUAUAAAGUGGUGGCAUUUAGUGACAAAAGCUAUUAUGUCAUUUUUGACAAUGGAAAUGAAAGUGUGAUUUGAAUCAUUCCUUCUUCAAACAG